GGGGAAAAGCCAAGCUAACGGACUAAGCCGAAAAAGUCGCUCACGUUUUGGUAUGAUGAGGUAAGUUCAUGUGUAAGUAAAUCAGCAUUAUGUUAUGUAAUAAGUGCUUAAUAUUUCAUAAAUUAUAGAAUUGCUCUUGUAAGUAUGAAUAAUAUUAUUUGAUAAAGAUUCGAAGUAAUGAAAGUCUCGGUUGAACCUAGGGAUGAUUAGGAUACGUUGGUAUGACAUAGAUAUAUUGAAAUUGUCAAACAUAUUCGGGAUAUGGCAUCGCUAUGAGACUCUAUGUAAGACCAUAUCCGGGAUAUGGCAUUGGUAAGGUGAUAUGUAUAUGAGAUCCCCGAGUAUCCUUUAUGGAUCCCGAAGGGUUCAAUGAGUAAAUAAAAAAUGUGUAUGAAAAUAAAGUUAUUUUGAGUAAACGGGCACAUACGUAGCUCAUAAUUGUGAACUCCGGACCAUAAUGGUAAUGAUUGCACAUUAACUAUUGUGAUUGAUGGAAUAUAUGUAUAUUGAGAAGUAAAUGUGUGGUAAUUAUAUAUGAUGAUUACAUGGUAGGCGUCGGGCCAAAUUGAGAUGUGACCUAACAUAUUUGCAUGCUUAAAAUUAAAUUUCAAUGGGCAUGCCAAAGAAUAAGCAAGUAAGUGAUUAUCUCACGAGAUGGCAAAGGUAUGUACGACAAAACUAUGAGUAGUGAAUUCAGUGUGUGAUGAACAUAUGGUGAGAAUUGUACAUGAAUAUGUUAUGCUUAUGCUAUAUAGAUAACCUUGGGAUUAAUGAUCCACCUUUAUGAUAAGAUGAUGUACUCUAAGAUUCGGUAGAAACCAUGUGUGAUGUAUACUAAGAUUUGGUGAAGAUCAUGUGUUAGGCUUUAGGGCAUAAUUGAGUUAUCGUGUAGUACGACGCCUAUAAAUAAUAUGAUAGACUAUAGUGGGAAGGUUAUGAUUAUUAACUUAAUGCCAAGGCAUGAAAUCCGAGAUUGUAAGAUAAAAGAGUAAACGUUUGGAAUGAGUAAGAAGCAACCCUGAAGUUUAGUGAAAAUUGUAUUAAUAAUAUCUUAUGAAUGAGUAGAUAAAUAAAUGAAUUUAAAUAGUUAUUUAACCUUUGCAUACGACUUACUAAGCUUUAGAGCUUACUCCCCUUCUUUUCUCAUCUCCUAUAGGGUAAUACUGCUAGCUCGGGUUGGAUAUCGCCGGAGAUGCUAUCAUACUACCAAGCUACCAUUUGAGGUAUAAGUAUUCAAGCACUUGAGUUUAUGGCAUGUAUAGGGACUUGUAUUUUGUAAUUGUGUUAUUGCUAAAAUGGUCAAAUUGGCCAGCCUAGGAUAGUUAUGGUCCUAAUUGUAUAUAGCCAUGAAUGAUGGCUUAUGUUAAUUAUUUGAUUAUGCAAGUGUCUACGCCAUUGAGAUGUGGCUUAUAAUUGCGUGUAAGUGCUG
rnacentral:lncRNA from 1 species